rnacentral:lncRNA from 1 species
CUGCUCAAUCACCUGAUCCUCCUAAGGAAAUUUAGGUCUCAUUAUACUAUCACAGAAAAAUAGGGCUGGAAACAGACCUUUGGAGGUCAUGUUGUCCACUGCUUUGCCUGAAGGCAAGAUCAAUGAUUCCUCACAGAUGUUUGUCUAACCCAGUCUCCAAGAAAUGGGUACUAGCAGCUGAUUUUAUCUCGUCAGUUCUUAACUCUUGCAAUUGCCUGGAAGUCAAUAAGGUGACUACUCAUAUGUCUAGCCCAAGCCCCUUUACAUCACUGUGUGUUUUCUCAUGUGUUUCCUUAAUAUGAAUGUGACAUUUGCCUCCUUCCAGCAAUGGCAUUUAAGCUUAAGAACUAUGACUUCUCACUUCACUAAUCAGUAAAUAAAAAUCUUCUUGUAGGUGCUAAGGAAUGCAUAAACUCUCUAGCCAUAUGAGAAAAGGACAUUCAAAUGGGUGGAAGGUUAUGAUCUUAGGUCAGCAUGCUCCAAAUUCACCUGAGUACCUGAGGCAAACAAUUGGAUAUUUGGUCAAACUACUGCCAUAUUCUUCCUUCAAGCCACUAUGCUAUGAAGAGGCAUUCACCCUGCAUAGCACAGAGCCAUCUAGACCUUUUCAGAUAAACCUGGAUCACCUCAGACCCUCAGAGGGAAAAUCUUCAUGUGAAAGCCUAGAAAGUUCUCCAAAAAAGGGACGCUGAAACUUCUAGAUCUAGAGGAACAUAAGACUUGCCCCACUUCAGAAAAAGUCUGGCGCAAGCAGGAAUGUCUCAUACCUCUUAGUAUGUGAGACAAGGUCCACCCAUAGAGGCUCCUAUCAGCUAUCCAUUUUGCUGAGCUGCCAACUGAGAGAUAAA